rnacentral:rRNA from 1 species
GGUUAAGCGACUAAGCGUACACGGUGGAUGCCCUGGCAGUCAGAGGCGAUGAAGGACGUGCUAAUCUGCGAUAAGCGUCGGUAAGGUGAUAUGAACCGUUAUAACCGGCGAUUUCCGAAUGGGGAAACCCAGUGUGUUUCGACACACUAUCAUUAACUGAAUCCAUAGGUUAAUGAGGCGAACCGGGGGAACUGAAACAUCUAAGUACCCCGAGGAAAAGAAAUCAACCGAGAUUCCCCCAGUAGCGGCGAGCGAACGGGGAGGAGCCCAGAGCCUGAAUCAGUGUGUGUGUUAGUGGAAGCGUCUGGAAAGGCGCGCGAUACAGGGUGACAGCCCCGUACACAAAAAUACACAUAUUGUGAGCUCGAUGAGUAGGGCGGGACACGUGGUAUCCUGUCUGAAUAUGGGGGGACCAUCCUCCAAGGCUAAAUACUCCUGACUGACCGAUAGUGAACCAGUACCGUGAGGGAAAGGCGAAAAGAACCCCGGCGAGGGGAGUGAAAAAGAACCUGAAACCGUGUACGUACAAGCAGUGGGAG